GACGAACGCUGGCGGCGUGCCUAAUACAUGCAAGUCGAACGCAGUGGGGACGGGUGAGUAACACGUGGGUAACCUCCCAUCAGAGGGGAUAAAACUUGGAAACAGGUGCUAAACCGAUACUGAUGGAUGGACCCGCGGUGCAUUAGCUAGUUGGUGAGGUAACGGCUCACCAAGGACACGAUGCAUAGCCGACCUGAGGGGGUGAUCGGCCACACUGGUACUGAGACCCGGCCCAGACUCCUACGGUAUGCAGCCGUAGGGAAUCUUCGGCCAUGGACGAUAGUCUGACCGAGCAACGCCGCGUGAGUUAAGACGGUUUUCGGAUCGUAAAACGCUGUUGUUAUAGAAGCGGUAUCUAACCAGAAAGCCACGGCUAACUACGUGCCAGCAGCCGCGGUAAUUC
rnacentral:rRNA from 1 species